UACGUAGGGGCUGAGCGUUGUCCGGAUUCAUUGGGCGUAAAGAGCUCGUAGGCGGUCGCGUAAGUCGGGUGUGAAAUCUCCGGGCUCAACCCGGAGGGGCCACCCGAUACUGCUCGACUUGAGUCCGGUAGGGGAGUGGGGAAUUCCUGGUGUAGCGGUGAAAUGCGCAGAUAUCAGGAGGAACACCGGUGGCGAAGGCGCCACUCUGGGCCGGUACUGACGCUGAGGAGCGAAAGCGUGGGGAGCAAACAGG
rnacentral:rRNA from 1 species